ensembl:lncRNA
CGGGAGGGGAACCGCUUCCCAAGAAUCCCUGCGCAGAGAUCCUUAGAAUAAAUGUUAUUUCUAGGCGCCGACCUGCUUGCGGCCGAAAGUGGGCACGACAGAUUUCUUUGAAAACAACAAAGUUUGAAAAUACACCCACAAACACUUUUGGGGUGCUACCCUGCCAGUCGUUUUACUAGGUGGUGGGAGGAGAACGAUGUACAAGACAUUUCCUAGAACCGCGUGGCAGCCGCUCCAGCUUCCUGACAAGGAGCAACGCUCUCCUUGACUUCACUUUUUAAAAACAAAGGACUGAUCUUACUUUCUAGGGAGCUACUGAUUCACAGAAGGAAAGUGCUCACGGGUGAGGAGAGCCAUUCUGGACCCUAGAUUAAGCUGCAGCCGCCUUGAAUCUGCUUAUUCUCUCCACCAGCCCUGGGAAAGGCACACACGUGGUUCCCUGCAAAAGCCUUUUUCAUUCCUGGCCUCUGCUGUGUGACAGGACAUCUGUCUCCUUUUGCCCUCAGACUGGGACUCACGCCAACAGCCACUUUGCCUCUACGGCCUUUGGAGUUCGACUAGAAGAUGACCACCGGCUCCAGCUUGCAACAGCAGCUCCUGCAGCUCCUCGGCCUCCGUCACCCGGAUUCGGCUCCCAGAGGCAGCUGACCAGGGCUGCUCUCCCGUGGUCACCACAAAGGUGUACGCCACAGAACGUCUCAGAAUACACAGCUUGAGUCGUCCACAUAAGCAGGGAGCAGGAAAGAAGCCACAGCUCCAUGCCUGACCUCAGGAGAGGGAGCCCCUCGCUUGUGCUAUGGUCUGGAGACCCAUCACUGGGUCCAGCCGCUUCUGGGGGAGAGGAUUCCACAGGGGAAUGAGAAACAAGAGGCAGGAAGCCUGGAGGAACUUUAAGGACAAAGUGCAUGCUGUAGUCAGCAGUGAUGGGCACACCUGUAACCCCAGCACUGGGAGGCUGAGGCAGGAGGACUGAGAGUUCAAGGCCAGCACAGUCUAUAUGACAAGACCCUAUCAAUCACACAAGCAUAAACUCUAAAAUCAAACAAAUGCAGUGCUGUUUAAAGGUUUGUACCAGGGCCAGCGAUUUAGCUCAGUGGUUUCGCCACCUGCUGCGCAAGCACCAGAACCUGAGUUUGAUCCCCUGUACCAAAAAAAAAAAAAAGGUUUAAACCAGUGAAAAGUAAAAAUAUUUCCCCUCUGAUAACAAGCUUCACUUCCUUUUUCUUUUCUUUCACUCUUUUUGUCUGUUUUUGAAACAGAGCCUCCCUAUGUAGUUCAGGCUGACCUUGAGCUCACUAUGUAG